CUAGCGGCGGACGGGUUAGUAACGCGUGGGAACGUGCCCUUCUCUGCGGAAUAGCCACUGGAAACGGUGAGUAAUACCGCAUACGCCCUUCGGGGGAAAGAUUUAUCGGAGAAGGAUCGGCCCGCGUUAGAUUAGAUAGUUGGUGGGGUAACGGCCUACCAAGUCUACGAUCUAUAGCUGGUUUUAGAGGAUGAUCAGCAACACUGGGACUGAGACACGGCCCAGACUCCUACGGGAGGCAGCAGUGGGGAAUCUUAGACAAUGGGCGCAAGCCUGAUCUAGCCAUGCCGCGUGUGUGAUGAAGGUCUUAGGAUCGUAAAGCACUUUCGCCAGGGAUGAUAAUGACAGUACCUGGUAAAGAAACCCCGGCUAACUCCGUGCCAGCAGCCGCGGUAAUACGGAGGGGGUUAGCGUUGUUCGGAAUUACUGGGCGUAAAGCGCGCGUAGGCGGAUUGGAAAGUUGGGGGUGAAAUCCCGGGGCUCAACCCCGGAACUGCCUCCAAAACUAUCAGUCUAGAGUUCGAGAGAGGUGAGUGGAAUUCCAAGUGUAGAGGUGAAAUUCGUA
rnacentral:rRNA from 1 species